GACGAACGCUGGCGGCGUGCUUAACACAUGCAAGUCGAACGGAAAGGCCCUGCUUUUGUGGGGUGCUCGAUGGGCGAAAGGGUGAGUAACACGUGAGUAACCUGCCCUUGACUUUGGGAUAAGUUCAGGAAACUGGGGCUAAUACCGGAUAGGAUCUCCUGCUGGAUGGUGGGGGUUGGAAAGUUUCGGCGGUUGGGGAUGGACUCGCGGCUUAUCAGCUUGUUGGUGGGGUAGUUGCUUACCAAGGCUUUGACGGGUAGCCGGCAUGAGAGGGUGACCGGCCACAUUGGGCCUGAGAUACGGCGCAGACUCCAACGGUAGGCAGCAGUGGGGAAUAUUGCACAAUGGGCGGAAGCCUGAUGCAGAAACGCCGCGUGCGGGAUGACGGCCUUCGGGUUGUAAACCGCUUUCGCCUGUGACGAAGCGUGAGUGACGGUAAUGGGUAAAGAAGCACCGGCUAACUACGUG
rnacentral:rRNA from 1 species